UGAGGAAUAUUGGUCAAUGGGCGGGAGCCUGAACCAGCCAAGUCGCGUGAGGGAUGACGGCCCUAUGGGUNGUAAACCUCUUUUGCCGGGGNGCAAAGUGCCGCACGUGUGCGGUUUGGAGAGUACCCGGAGAAAAAGCAUCGGCUAACUCCGUGCCAGCAGCCGCGGUAAUACGGAGGAUGCGAGCGUUAUCCGGAUUUAUUGGGUUUAAAGGGUGCGUAGGCGGACGCUUAAGUCAGCGGUAAAAUUGCGGGGCUCAACCUCGUCGAGCCGUUGAAACUGGGUGCCUUGAGUGGGCGAGAAGUACGCGGAAUGCGUGGUGUAGCGGUGAAAUGCAUAGAUAUCACGCAGAACUCCGAUUGCGAAGGCAGCGUACCGGCGCCCAACUGACGCUGAAGCACGAAGGCGUGGGUAUCGAAC
rnacentral:rRNA from 1 species